GACGUAGGCGCGAGCGUUGUCCGGAUUUAUUUGGGCGUAAAGAGCUCGUAGGCGGUUUUGUCGCGUCGGCCGUGAAACUUGGGGCUUAACUCCAAGCUUGCGGUCGAUACGGGCAGACUUGAGUUCGGCAGGGGAGACUGGAAUUCCUGGUGUAGCGGUGAAAUGCGCAGAUAUCAGGAGGAACACCAAUGGCGAAGGCAGGUCUCUGGGCCACAACUGACGCUGAGGAGCGAAAGCAUGGGGGAGCGAAACAGG
rnacentral:rRNA from 1 species